GACGAACGCUGGCGGCGUGCUUAACACAUGCAAGUCGAACGGAAAGGCCCUGCUUGCAGGGUGCUCGAGUGGCGAACGGGUGAGUAACACGUGGGUGAUCUGCCCCUUACUUUGGGAUAAGCCUGGGAAACUGGGUCUAAUACUGGAUAGGACCAUGCUGUAGGUGGUGUGGUGGAAAGAUUAGUUUCGGUAAGGGAUGAGCUCGCGGCCUAUCAGCUUGUUGGUGGGGUAAUGGCCUACCAAGGCGUCGACGGGUAGCCGGCCUGAGAGGGUGGACGGCCACAUUGGGACUGGGAUACGGCCCAGGCUCCCACGGGAGGCAGCAGGGGGGAAUAUUUCACAAUGGGGGGAAGCCUGAUGCAGCGACGGCGGGGGGGGGAUGACGGCCUUCGGGUUGGAAACUCCUUUCCGCCAGGACGAAGGCGUCGGGUGACGGUAGUGGUAGAAGAAGCACCGGCUAACUACGUG
rnacentral:rRNA from 1 species